AGCAGCCGCGGUAAUUCCAGCUCCAAUAGCGUAUAUUAAAGUUGUUGCAGUUAAAAAGCUCGUAGUUGAAUUUCGGGGUUAGUAGGUUGGUCAUGCCUCUGGUAUGUACUGGUCUCACUGAUUCCUCCUUCCUGAUGAACCGUAAUGCCAUUAAUUUGGUGUUGUGGGGAAUCAGGACUGUUACUUUGAAAAAAUUAGAGUGUUUAAAGCAGGCAAGCGCUUGAAUACAUUAGCAUGGAAUAAUGAAAUAGGACGUUCGAUCCUAUUUUGUUGGUUUCUAGGGUUGACGUAAUGAUUAAUAGGGAUAGUUGGGGGCAUUAGUAUUCAAUUGUCAGAGGUGAAAUUCUUGGAUUUAUUGAAGACUAACUACUGCGAAAGCAUUUGCCAAGGAUGUUUUCAUUAAUCAAGAACGAAAGUUAGGGGAUCGAAGACGAUCAGAUACCGUCGUAGUCUUAACCAUAAACUAUGCCGACUAGGGAUCGGAUGGUGUUAAUUUUUUAAUGACUCAUUCGGCGCCU
rnacentral:sRNA from 1 species